rnacentral:misc_RNA from 1 species
AAACCUGUAAUUUUAUGGGCCACCAAAUAAGAAAAUGAGGUCAGGGAGCUUGUUUAUUGAGAACAUUUCUACUAUCUCCAUCAAUUCCUGGCAGUUUAAACUACACCACCAAAACUAUAAGGCUGCAAUUUAAAUACUUCAAAUAUCUUCUGGGAAGUGAAAGAUCAUUGUGGCAAUUCAUCAAGCAAUUAUAUGAGUUCAAAAUUCAGAAAAUCUACAGCUAGCAUCAACUCUA